AGCAAUCCUCCUACCUCAGCCACCCAAGUAGCUGGGAUUACAGGUUGACAAUCAUCACUUCCUGUUGCUGUUCAUGUGCCAGUCUGCAAGGCCACUCUAGAGUUCUAAAAUGCAUAGAAAUUGGAAACCAGCUGUGUUCCUGAGCAGCUGCACGUUGCUGAGCCUGGAGAAGUGAGAGGUUGGAAAUAGACUCCAAGGCAGAGUUAAUCAUUCUUGGAGCCUGAACCGAACAUGAAGCCUCCUGGUGCCUCUGAUCACAUUUAUUCAGAGCUACUAGAGAAGAGACGUCCUUAUGGGCCCUGCUCUUACAGAUCGGUGUUCCGGGGUGAGCAGGUCUAUGCAAACCUACCCCCAAAGUCCAAGGAAGCUGAGAGGUCAAAGAAAGAGGCUGUCAAAUCCAGUUCUUCAGAAAGAAAUAUUUAAUAGGGAUUAUGAACAGAAGCCACGUCUUGGGCAGCUGCGAGAUGAGAUGGUGGAUCCCCACACUGUUACCCCCCAGACCCGGGGCUCACAUAUGCCACAGGGAAGGAGUGUGUAGGACAAUUGUCGUCAACUCCUCAGGGAAAGGCAAGAAUGUGUCUAUGGGCAGGAUUUAGGCACGAAAAUGAAGUUUAUUGAGGAGAGAAACAUAGGAUUACAGAGCAAGAGCAAGAUACAGGUUUACAGAGUGAGAGCAAGAUACAUUCACCACAGACAACGAAAGGACCCCUCGUGAUGACAAAAUGGCCAAAGAUGUAAUUUUCCACCAUAGUCUCGAACCUUGAGAAGACAUCUGAGCCACCGCAGCCUGGCCUUCCUGGGGCAUGUCUACCGUGGAGCAGAGAGUUCUCGAAAGGGAGCCUCAUAGAAAGGACAUGAGAUGAAAAGCCGCGAUCCAUGGAAGAGUUGAAAAAAGUCUGAAAGUGACUCCUUUCCCCUUCCACCAUAUGAGGACACAGUGACAAGGGAUCCUCUAUGAACCAGAGUGAGUCCUCAACCAGACAGAACCUGCCAUCCUCUUCAUUUUGGACUUCCCAGCCUCCAGAACAGGUUUUGGCCACAGCACAGCCAACAGGAGUCUACUGACGAGACGCUCAGCGCUCUGGCAUGCUGGCAGCGUGUCAUCCUGACUCAACAGACCUUUGCAGUGACUAGAAAAGAUGCAGCGGGCCUAAACAUUUUCAGAAUUAUUUUUAAAUUAAAUUCCUCCUGUUUUUCUUUCUUCGCUAGAAGUGAAAUUCAAAAACUCCAAAUACCAUAAUGAUACAUUUUUAAAAAAGGAUUAAAAAGCCAUCUUAGUCCCAGCCUGCUGUCAGGAGGCAAAAGAGGGGUGGUGUGGGUCCUGGAUGGGAAGCCUCUGUCCCCAACACGGGCUGAAACCCUGAAGCCUUCUAGCAAGGGGCGGCAGAGGCUGGCCAUGCACUGAGCAAGCUGGUCAUCUCGGCCAACCACAGUCUGCCCACCGCACGGUCCCCGUGGGAGAACAGACAGCGCAAUCCGUCUGCAAGACCGAACAGGUUUCUCUAAGUGUCCUGCUCCAGGCUGAGGGAGGCUGAUUCCAAGGACUUGGGGCGCUGGCAUUUACACAGGCAGAAGCUGGGCUUCCUAAGGCUCAAGUUUCUCAGACUGAUCUGACUUGUUCACGUUCAGGUUCAGGAUGCAAACUGAGAGCUCUUGAGAAGCUAUGCUUAUGUUUUUAGGCCUUCGGCAGUUUUACACACACGUGCACACACACACACACAGAGUCCAAACUUUCUUUCUUCAAAGAGAACCUUGUAUUUAUAUGUUAUUUUAACAAGUCUUCUUGGUCUUUCUGCCAUGCAUUUCUAUUUAGCUGUUCCGGAGGUCAAAAAAAGCCAACCACGUGAUAUUCUGCAGUUAGCGCACACUCUUAACCCAAGGGCUACAGCCCGCCUGAAAUUGCAUGCCAAAUUGUGUGCACGUGCAUUUUCCUCCCUAGAGUCAAGAGGACAUAGCUUCCAUAAAAGGGUCAAAGAUGACCUUGGGUGUUUAAAAACCUCAGCCAAUUGUUCAAAUUUAAAUGUCACGACAAUGAUUAAUUUCUGUUACCUGCAGUAGAUAUUCCAGAAGGACUGUAGCCAAAGUUUCUCACCAAUCCCUCUCUGCCCAACACAUUGCAUCACAGCACACACACAUAUACCCCAAACCAGACUACUUAAGCCACAUUUUUGUUUUCUGAGAAAACAAAACCCUUUUUAAUAUAGAAAAGUGUUCUGAUACUCCAACCAUCAUCCUAAAUUCAGUUGUUAAUAUUUGUCCUUCGAGGCUUUAAACCUUUUCUUCCCUUUUUUUUAAUUGAAAGAAAGGAAGCAUUAUAGAUAAAAUGUAAGUCCUCUUGGUUCCCAGUUGAAUUCCCCUGUCCAAAAGUAACUAUGAUGAUGAAUUUAGCAUGCAUCGCUUCAGCUCAUUGUUUAAAGCUUGUGUGUGUAUAUAGCUCCAAACAAUAUGUAGUAUUGCUUUUAUAUCUGUAAAUGAUAUCGUACUGAAUGUAUUAUUCCACAACUUGUUUUCUUCAUUUGAAAUUGUACUUUUGAAAUUUGUCUGUAUUGACAUAUGAAAAUCA